AUGUCUAGCAGCUCGGCCUCGCCGGCUAACUACGAUGAGCACCCAGUGGAGACGUCGUCGUCGUCGAGAUCCCUGGCGAACACCGUCACCGUGGCGCACAACUUCGAGAUCACUAGUUACUCGCUGCUCGACGGCUUUCAUCCCGGCGACUACAUUUGCUCGAGAAGGUUCACCGCCGGUGGUUACGACUGGUGUAUCAGGUUCUACCCUAACGGACAUACAGAGGAGGAUGCUUUCUACACCUCGGCCUUCUUGUGUCUAUGUCGAGGAGAACCAUGGCCGGGCGUAAGAGCCAAGUUCUUCUCUAAGAAGCAUAUCGUCGAUGACUGCUUCACAAUCAGGUGCGUCUUGACCGUCAUCACGCAACACACGGAGGACCGAAGCUUCGUCGUCAUCCCCCGGUCGGACCUCCGCGACCACCUGGUAGACAUGCUGGAGGGCGGGGAAGGCACGGAGGCGGAGCUCUUUAGCGGAAUGGAGGAGAACGCUACUCGACACAUCAAGGUCGACGACAUGGAGCCCACCAUCUUCCAGGCACUCCUCCACUUCAUCUACACGGAUACCUUCCCACAUGACAGUGGUGUAGACAAGAAUGCGCCAUUGCAACACUUGUUCGUUGCCGCGGAUCGUGACAUCCAGCAGACCGAUGGAUUCAAGCAUCUCAUAUCCAGCUGCCCUUCAGUUGUAGGGGACAUCAUAAACAACAUCACCGUCGCUAGUGGUGGUAGGGAUGCCAAAAGAGCUCGAGUCGAAGCCACUCACAGCGACUCAUCUUCUAGCUACACCGGAGAUUUACUCCAAAAUAAAUUUGUAGAGCAUGAGUCUAUAUAA
rnacentral:rRNA from 1 species